rnacentral:rRNA from 1 species
GACAGAGGAUGCAAGCGUUAUCCGGAAUGAUUGGGCGUAAAGCGUCUGUAGGUGGCUUUUCAAGUCCGCCGUCAAAUCCCAGGGCUCAACUCUGGACAGGCGGUGGAAACUACCAAGCUGGAGUACGGUAGGGGCAGAGGGAAUUUCCGGUGGAGCGGUGAAAUGCGCAGAUAUCAGGAGGAACACCGGUGGCGAAGGCGGGUCUCUGGGCCGAUAUCGACGCUGAGGAGCGAAAGCGUGGGGAGCGAACAGG